rnacentral:rRNA from 1 species
GGGUCAGUAGGUUGGUCGUGCCACCGGUACGUACUGGUCUCACUGAUUCCUCCUUCCUGAAGAACCGUAAUGCCAUUAAUCUGGUGUUGCGGGGAAACAGGACUGUUACUUUGAAGAAAUUAGAGUGUUUAAAGCAAGCUAACGCUUGAAUACACUAGCAUGGAAUAAUGAAAUAGGACGAUCGAUCCUAUUUUGUUGGUUUCUAGGAUUGACGUA